UACGGAAGGUUCGGGCGUUAUCCGGAUUUAUUGGGUUUAAAGGGAGCGUAGGCCGCCGCUUAAGCGUGCUGUGAAAUGUACCGGCUCAACCGGUGACGUGCAGCGCGUACUGGGUGGCUUGAGUUCGCGGUAGGCAGGCGGAAUUCGUGGUGUAGCGGUGAAAUGCUUAGAUAUCACGAAGAACUCCGAUUGCGUAGGCAGCUUGCUGUAGCGUAACUGACGCUGAAGCUCGAAGGUGCGGGUAUCGAACAGG
rnacentral:rRNA from 1 species